GAUACUAGACCUCCAGACUUUCCUAUCAAGGGCCAUGUCCUCGAAAACCCGCAUUCUAGCAAUGUCAUGCCUAAUCACCUCUCCCCAAUACCUCUUAGGCUUCCCUCUGCCUCGCCGUACGCCGACCAUCGCCAGCCGCUCACAACUUCUCACUGGGGCAUCAGGACUUCUCCUCCGCACAUGCCCGAACCACCUCAGCCUCGCUUCUCGCAUCUUCUCAUCCACCGG
rnacentral:lncRNA from 1 species